rnacentral:rRNA from 1 species
GUCCACGCCGUAAACGAUGAAUGCCAGUCGUCGGGUAGCAUGCUAUUCGGUGACACACCUAACGGAUUAAGCAUUCCGCCUGGGGAGUACGGCCGCAAGGUUAAAACUCAAAGGAAUUGACGGGGCCGCACAAGCGGUGGAGCAUGUGGUUUAAUUCGAAGCAACGCGCAGAACCUUACCAACCCUUGACAUGGGUAUCGCGGGGCCAGAGAUGGUCCUUUCAGUUCGGCUGGAUACCACACAGGUGCUGCAUGGCUGUCGU